GACGAACGCUGGCGGCGUGCUUAACACAUGCAAGUCGAACGGAAAGGCCUGCUUUCCCUUGUGGAUUGCGGGUGCUCGAGUGGCGAACGGGUGAGUAACACGUGAGUGAUCUGCCCCCAACUUGGGUAUAAGCCCGGGAAACUGGGUCUAAUUCCCGAUAGGACUGCAGGGUGGUGCCUGUGGUGGAAAACGAUUUUCUAGUGGUUGGGGAUGAGCUCGCGGCCUAUCAGCUUGUUGGUGGGGUAAUGGCCUGCCAAGGCGGCGACGGGUAGCCGGCCUGAGAGGGUGGACGGCCACAUUGGGACUGAGAUACGGCCCAGACGCCUACGGGAGGCAGCAGUGGGGAAUAAUGGACAAUGGGCGGAAGCCUGAUGCAGCGAGGCAGCGUGGGGGAUGACGGCCUUCGGGUUGUAAACUCCUUUCGACCGCGAGGAAGCCACCUGGUUGGAAGGGUGGUGACGGUAGUGGUAGAAGAAGCACCGGCUAACUACGUG
rnacentral:rRNA from 1 species